GGUCUAAUUCAGUAGGAGGACUUGAUUCAUGCUAACCCAUUAUCCAUCGAUUUUUGUGGUGUCUUAAAAAAUCUUUGAUUUUCAAAUUUAGAUCGUUUUAAACUUAAUUCUAAAUUAAGUAGUAAAAUAUGUGUUUCAGUUUGUAAGACUAUUCUACUAAGAUUUCAAUUGAAGCAUACCAUAUGUUUCAUAUCAUGAAAACUAAUUUUUAUAUCUAUGUUUAAUAAUUAAACAUACAUAAUUUUGAUUCAAACUUCAUAUAUACAUCACAUGUAUCAUGACUACUUUUAGAUCAUUACC
rnacentral:lncRNA from 1 species